UUCCUUUAAAUACUGUACCUCCGGUCGUAUAUUGUGUUUGCUGGUUCGCCGGCUAUGGCGAUAAACGUGCUGUGAAAUAAGCAGAGCGGACCCGGGGGC
rnacentral:tmRNA from 1 species